GAACUUAAGCAUAUCAAUAAGCGGAGGAAAAGAAACCAACAGGGAUUACCUCAGUAACGGCGAGUGAAGCGGUAACAGCUCAAAUUUGAAAGCUGCCAACAGGCCGCGUUGUAAUUUGUAGAAGCUGCUUUGGGUGUCGGCCCGGUCUAAGUUCCUUGGAACAGGACGUCAUAGAGGGUGAGAAUCCCGUAUGUGAUCGGUGCCGUUGCCCGUGUAAAGCGCUUUCGACGAGUCGAGUUGUUUGGGAAUGCAGCUCAAAAUGGGUGGUAAAUUUCAUCUAAAGCUAAAUAUUGGCCAGAGACCGAUAGCGCACAAGUAGAGUGAUCGAAAGAUGAAAAGCACUUUGGAAAGAGAGUUAAACAGUACGUGAAAUUGUUGAAAGGGAAGCGCUUGCAACCAGACUUGCGGGCGGUCGAUCAUCCGAGGUUCUCCCCGGUGCACUCGAUCGUUCUCAGGCCAGCAUCGGUUUCCGGGGUGGGAUAAAGGCGGUGGGAAUGUGGCUCUUCGGAGUGUUAUAGCCCACCGUGCAAUGCCGCCACUGGGGACCGAGGACCGCGCUUCGGCUAGGAUGCUGGCGUAAUGGUUGUAAGCGACCCGUCUUGAAACACGGACCAAGGAGUCUAACAUCUAUGCGAGUGUUUGGGUGUCAAACCCAUACGCGUAAUGAAAGUGAACGGAGGUAAGAGCCCUUUAGGGUGCAUUAUCGACCGAUCCUGAUGUCUUCGGAUGGAUUUGAGUAAGAGCAUAGCUGUUGGGACCCGAAA
rnacentral:rRNA from 1 species